rnacentral:rRNA from 1 species
UACGUAGGGUGCAAGCGUUGUCCGGAAUUAUUGGGCGUAAAGAGCUCGUAGGCGGUCUGUCGCGUCUGCUGUGAAAACUCGGGGCUUAACCCCGGGCCUGCAGUGGGUACGGGCAGACUAGAGUGCGGUAGGGGAGACUGGAAUUCCUGGUGUAGCGGUGAAAUGCGCAGAUAUCAGGAGGAACACCGGUGGCGAAGGCGGGUCUCGUGGGCAAUUCCUGACGCUGAGGCGCGAAAGCGUGGGGAGCAAACGGG